GGAAAUUGUUUUUCUGGCUCAGCAACAACUCAGCUUUCUUUGCAAUUGCCUGAGGAACAUUUACCUCUGGUUCAGUCGAACAGAAGGAUUCCUCUUAAAAGCCCCCUUCUUCAGGAAAAGGUACUUUGUUUUUCAUGGCCACUGACGCACAAGUGGUGUAGAUCUGCGCCCGGGAACCAAACCCAGGCCCCCAAAGUGGAGCAUGCUGAACUCAACCACUAGGCCACUGGGGUUGGCCCAAAGUUGAAGCAGCGAGGGCUUAAACAACUUCCCUGGGACAUUGGGCAGGACCAGACUUCAAAGCCUGCUCAUAACCACUAUGCAAUAUUGAGACACUGUCAGCGCUUUAUUGAGAUAUAAUUGAUAAACAAAAAACUACACAUAUUUAAUGUAUACAAUUCAAUGAGUUUGGAUGUGUGCAUAUACCCGUGGAACCAUCACCACAAUCAAGGAGAGCAUAGACGAGAUGAUGGCUUCGUGGAUUAAGUUCCUAGAGGUGAAAGGGGAAUCUGGUCAUAUUCUGGGUGUAUUUUGAAGACAAAGCCAACAGAAUUUGCUGAAGGUUAAGA
rnacentral:lncRNA from 1 species